GCCUUAGUAACGGCGAGUGAAGCGGCAAAAGCUCAAAUUUGAAAUCUGGUACCUUCGGUGCCCGAGUUGUAAUUUGGAGAGGGCAACUUUGGGGCCGUUCCUUGUCUAUGUUCCUUGGAACAGGACGUCAUAGAGGGUGAGAAUCCCGUGUGGCGAGGAGUGCGGUUCUUUGUAAAGUGCCUUCGAAGAGUCGAGUUGUUUGGGAAUGCAGCUCUAAGUGGGUGGUAAAUUCCAUCUAAAGCUAAAUAUUGGCGAGAGACCGAUAGCGAACAAGUACAGUGAUGGAAAGAUGAAAAGAACUUUGAAAAGAGAGUGAAAAAGUACGUGAAAUUGUUGAAAGGGAAGGGCAUUUGAUCAGACAUGGUGUUUUGUGCCCUCUGCUCCUUGUGGGUAGGGGAAUCUCGCAUUUCACUGGGCCAGCAUCAGUUUUGGUGGCAGGAUAAAUCCAUAGGAAUGUAGCUUGCCUCGGUAAGUAUUAUAGCCUGUGGGAAUACUGCCAGCUGGGACUGAGGACUGCGACGUAAGUCAAGGAUGCUGGCAUAAUGGUUAUAUGCCGC
rnacentral:rRNA from 1 species